rnacentral:lncRNA from 1 species
GCCUAAAACCCCAAACAGCAAGCAAUGCAGGUGUAGAAGCACGGUGGCUAGGAAAAACUCCCUAGAAAGGCCAAAACCUAGGAAGAAACCUAGAGAGGAACCAGGCUAUAAGGGGCGGCCAGUCCUCUGCUGGUUGUGCCGGGUGGAGAUUAUAACAGAACAUGGCCAAGAUGUUCAAAUGUUCAUAGAUGACCAGCAGGGUCAAAUAAUAAUAAUCACAGUGGUUGUCGAAGGUGCAACAGGUCAGCACCUCAGGAAUAAAUGUCAGUUGGCUUUUCAUAGCCGAUCAUUCAGAGUAUCUCUACCGCUCCUGCUGUCUCUAGAGAGUUGAAAACAGCAGGUCUGGGACAGGUAGCACGUCCGGUGAACAGGUCAGGGUUCCAUAGCCGCAGGCAGAACAGUUGAAACUGGAGCAGCAGCACGGCCAGGUGAACUGGGGACAGCAAGGAGUCAUCAUGCCAGGUAGUCCUGAGGCAUGGUCCUAGGGCUCAGGUCCUCCGAGAGAGAGAAAGAAAGAAAGAGAAAGAGAGAAUUAGAGAGAGCAUAUUUAAAUUCACACAGGACACCGGAAAAGACAGGAGAAAUACUCCAGAUGUGACAGACUGACCCUAGCCCCCCGACACAUAAACUACUGCAGCAUAAAUACUGGAGGCUGAGACAGGAGGGGUCAGGAGACGCUGUGGCCCCAUCCGAUGAAACCCCCGGACAGGGCCAAACAGGUAGGAUAUAACCCCACCCACUUUGCCAAAGCACAGCCUCCACACCACUGGAGGGAUAUCUCCAACCACCAACAUACCAGCCCGGGACAAGGCCGAGUAUAGCCCACAAAGAUCUCCGCCACGGCACAGCCCAAGGGGGGGGGGGGGCGCCAACCCAGACAGGAAGACCACGUCAGUGACUCAACCCACUCAAGUGACGCACCCCUCCCAGGGACGGCAUGGAAGAACACCAGUAAGCCAGUGACUCAGCCCCCGUAAUAGGGGUAGAGGCAGAGAAUCCCAGUGGAAAGAGGGGAAACCGGCCAGGCAGAGACAGCAAGGGCGGUCAUCUGACGUCAUUAUAAGGUACCACCUUCACAAGUGCAGUCUCAGUGCUAUGAUGGGGUCUAAAACCAGACUGAAGCGUUUUGUGUACAUUGUUUGUCUUCAGGAAGGCAGUGAGUUGCUGCACAACAGCUUUUUCUAAAA